UGGGGAAUUUUGGACAAUGGACGCAAGUCUGAUCCAGCCAUGCCGCGUGCGGGAAGAAGGCCUUCGGGUUGUAAACCGCUUUUGUCAGGGAAGAAACGAGUUUCUCUAAUACAGAGACUUAAUGACGGUACCUGAAGAAUAAGCACCGGCUAACUACGUGCCAGCAGCCGCGGUAAUACGUAGGGUGCAGGCGUUAAUCGGAAUUACUGGGCGUAAAGCGUGCGCAGGCGGUUAUAUAAGACAGAUGUGAAAUCCCCGGGCUCAACCUGGGACCUGCAUUUGUGACUGCAUAGCUAGAGUACGGCAGAGGGGGAUGGAAUUCCGCGUGUAGCAGUGAAAUGCGUAGAUAUGCGGAGGAACACCGAUGGCGAAGGCAAUCCCCUGGGCCUGUACUGACGCUCAUGCACGAAAGCGUGGGGAGCAAACA
rnacentral:rRNA from 1 species